AUUGAAUGAAUGGAGAAUGGGUUGUUCUCCUUCUCGUACAUCUGAAUCGGACGGAAGAAAGAUUCACAUUAAUGGUAUGAAUUUGUUGUUGUUUAGUGUUUUUGUGUUGUUUUUAGCUCACCUGUCCCGAAGGGACAAGUGAGCUUAUGCCAUCACUUGGCGUCCGUCGUUGUCUUCUCGUCGUCUCGUUCUGUCGUCGUAAAUAUUUCAAAAUCUUCUCCUCUGUACUAUGGGCCAAAUACUUUCAACUUUAAUGAUUGUUCCUUAGGGAUCUAAUUUAUAAAUUGUAUCGAAUUUUGUCUAUCAAAAACAUGGCCGCCAUGCUAAAAAUAGAACAUAGGGGUAAAUGCAGUUUUUGGCUUAUAACUCAAAAACCAAAGCAUUUAGAGCAAAUCUGACAUGGGUAAAAUGUUUAUCAGGUCAAGAUCUAUCUGCCCUGAAAUUUUCAGAUGAAUCAGACAACCUGUUGUUGGGUUGCUGCCCCUGAAUUGGUAAUUUUUAAGGAAAUUUUGCUGUUUUUGGUUAUUAUCUUGAUAUUAUUAUAGAUGAGAUAAACUGUAAACAGGAAUAAUGUUCAGCAAAGUAAGAUUACAAAUAAGUCAACAUGACAAAAUGUCAGAUUGACCCCUUUAGGGGUUAUUGCCUUUAUAGUCAAUUUUUAAACAUUUUUCGUAAAUUAGUAAUCUUUUACAAAAAUCUUCUCCUCUGAAACUACUGGGCAAAUUAUUCCAAACUUUGGCAUUGAAUGUUCCUUAGGGUAUCUAGUUUAAAAAUGUGUCGAAUGACCUGAUCAAUCAAAAACAUGGCGCCAUUGCUAAAAAUAGAACAUAGGGGUAAAAAUGCAGUUUUGGCUUAUACUCAAAAACCAAAGCAUUUAGAGCAAAUCUGACAGGGUAAAAAUGUUUAUCAGGUCAAGAUCUAUCUGCCCUGAAAUUUUCAGAUGAAUCGGACAAUUGUUGUUGGGUUGCUGCCCCUGAAUUGGUAAUUUUAAGGAAAUUUUGCUGUUUUGGUUAUUAUCUUGAAUUUAUUAUAGAUAGAGAAAACUGUAAACAGCAAUAAUGUUCAGCAAAGUAAGAUCUACAAAUAAGUCAACAUGACAAAAUGUCAGUUGACCCCUUAGGAGUUAUUGCCCUUUAUAGUUCAAUUUUUAACCAUUUUUCUAAAUUAAAGUAAUCUUUUACAAAAAUCUUCUCCUCUGAAACUACUGGGCCAAAUAUCCAAUUUAACUGAAUGUUCCUUAGGGUAUGUAGUUUGAAAAAUUUUAUCCGGUUAUGAUCUCAACAACAUGGUCGCCAUUGCUAAAAAUAGAACAUAGGGUAAAAUGCAGUUUUUGGCUUAUAACUCAAAAACCAAAGCAUUCAGAGCAAAUCUGACAGUGGGUAAAUGUUUAUCAGGUCAAUUUCUAUCUGCCCUGAAAUUUCAGAUGAAUCAGACAACCUGUUGUUGGGUUGCUGCCCUGAAUUGUAAUUUUAGGAAAUUUUGCUGUUUUUGUUUAUUAUCUUGAAUAUUAAUUAUAGAUAGAAAUAAACUGUAAACAGCAAUAAUGUUCAGCAAAGUAAGAUCUCAAUAAGUCAACAUGACCAAAAUGUCAAUUGACCCCUUAAGGAGUUAUUGCCUUAAAGGGGUCCUUUAGGGGCUAAAUGAGGAGGGGGGGGGAACAUAGGGGGGGGACGGGGGAGAGGGGUGAGCGAUUCAGGCUCUUGAGAGCCUCUUGUUCUAUUAUAAGCUACAUGUAUAAGGACCAAACAUCUUUGAAUGGGGCAUUUGAUUUUCGAUAAAUUGAUUGAAGCUUUUUAUUCAAUUUUUAGAAAAAUGAAGGAAAUUAUUUGUUAUUCAAAAUAACUUCAUUUUGUUACAAAGUAUAACAGUAACAUAAACAGGUAGUGUGAAAAUAAUGUUUAUUUAAAAAAAAUCUUUUUUCAUUAUGUAAUGAUUUUUUUUUUCAAUUACUGUUUUCCUAGAAAAAAAAAGAUAUGAUUGAUAUUGAUAUAUAACCUGCCUUAUUUUUACACUGCAUAACUUAACCCUGCAUUAUACAAGACAAAAUCAUCAUAUAGUUCUAUUAAAAACCAUGUGACAUGUGACAAAGUUUUUGAUUGGCUAUAAGACAAUGGAUUACGUCUGCUGUCAAUUACAUGGUUGUUUACACUGUAUGUGGAUACAUAACUAUUUCCACAUAACUAUUUCCGUACAGUAAUUUUUUUAUAAAGCUGUCAAUUUCUCAAACACAUGAAUUUAAAGAACAUUUUGAUUCACCAUGCAUGAUAGCUGAUAUAAGGGUUAUGACCUUUUAACUUAACCAAUCAUAUACUGAGAUUAUUUGUUGUACCCAUACAUUGUACUUGAUUAUUUUUUUUAAAACAAUGAGUUCAAUAAAAUGGGUUUCAAAAGAAUAAGAGACCAUAUAUGUCAUGUAUGUACAUACAUUUGUUACUACAACAUGUAGCCGAAAUCAAAAAUAGUCAUUUUGAACUUAUUUUGCACUUAAUUGACCAAAUAGUAGAUAAUAUUUUAAUUUCUAUGUUAGUAUUCAAUUAUAGUAUUGCAAAUUAUCCAAGUCUCAAAGGCAAGACUUAUAUGCAUGUGCAGUUUCAGACAGUGGUGUCAACAAUGUAGAACUAUUAAUUUGUAAUUAGGUCAGUAUAAGGGGUCCAAAAACUUACUAAGAAGUUAUGCUCAGUGAUAUUUGGUAUAUAUAUAUAUAUAUAUAUAUGCAUCAGCUUUUUUCCAGAAGACUCAGUUUAGUGACACUAAUAUAUACUUACUUAUAUACUUACUUAGUCCUUGCUAUGCCUUAUGGCACAUAGGGCAAAAGACAAUGAUACUAGCUUAAUACUUAUAGUUUGACUUGGUUUGAACAAAAAAUUCUGACCACCCUGAUGAUCUGUAUCUCUUGCUUAGGUGAAACUCUUUUAGUAGAUUUUUACAUCUUUACCUCUUAGAUUACACCAAUGAAGUAUAAUAAAUUUAUUCAAGCUUUCAUAUCAUUUCCUAUUGAAGGUCUGGCCACCAUGAAAUAGCCCAAUAGCAGUGCUUGAAAGUGGCGUUAAAACACCAAAAAUCAAAAUCAAAUCAAGCUUUGUGUGUACAACAGGUUCAUUUUCUUUUUUUAGCUAUUUAAAAUUUUUUGCGUCAUUUCAUCGACGUUGUCUGAAGACGCAUUUAGUGUCCGGACAAUUACUUUAGUUUUAGUGAAUGGAUCUUUAUAAAUUUUUACAAGAAGGUUCAAUACCACUAAAGGAAGGUUGGGAUUGACCUUGGGGUUUAUGGUCCCAAUAGUUUAGGAAUUAGGGGCCAAAAAGGGGGCAAAAAUAAGCAUUUUUGUAGUUUUCAAACAAUAACUUAUUUUUAAGUGUAUGAAUCUCUCUGAUAUUAUAUCACAAGUUUCCAUGCCAUGAAGGGGUGGUAAGUAUUGUCUUUGGGGGUUAUGGCUCAAAUUAUUUUGGAAAUAGGGGCAAAUAAAAGGGGAAAAACUAGGUUUUAUCUGGUCAAUGGACAUUUAAGACAAUUUAAAAGCAGUGAAAGAUAGGUACAUGUAAUUCAAAAACAUUUAACAUACAAUGUUGGGUAUGAUUGGAUUUACCUCCCUUACACUACUUGUAAAUUAUAUAUACAAAAAUGUCAGGUUUUGGACUAAUUGCAAAAAAAGGGGGUGUUAAGGAAGUAGUUUUCACUUUUAUCUUUUUCCAAAUUUCUCAAAUUCCUCAAAGUUUGAAGAAGAAAACUUUAAUUGCACAAUAGAUUUGUAAGAUCGGGACAUUUGUUUUGUGUCAUAAACCCAAAGUAUGUCACAAAUUUGAUCAGAAUCCAAAUUCAGAGCUGUACCAAGCCUGAAUGUUGUGUCCAUACUUACCCCAACUGUUCAAGGUUUGACCUUGGGGUCGUAUAAAGCUGCGCCCUGUGGAGCACCUGGUUAUCAAUGUUUUUUAUUACUACUGUAACAGUUCUCUUCAGAUUGUAUAUAUUCAGUAACAUUUGGGUCUCAGUGACCUUAAUUUCAUGAAACAGAGACUUAAUUUAAGUUUUAUGGUUGUGAAUUUAUCUAGAAUCUUCAUUUCUGGGUUGAUAUAUAAAUAUAUAGGUUUAUAGUAUGAGUUUAUUUUCAUUGUAGAAUAUGCAUGAUUCCAGUGAAGAUUGUUUCCCUUGGAUUGAUGUUGUAUGUUGAUUAUCUACCCUGAUAUGAUACAGAUUACCUUUAACUUGAUGUUGUAUGUUGAUUAUCUCCCCUGAUAUGAUACAGAAUACCUUUAACUUGAUGUUGUAU
rnacentral:lncRNA from 1 species